rnacentral:rRNA from 1 species
GACGAACGCUGGCGGCGUGCUUAACACAUGCAAGUCGAGCGGUAAGGCCCUUUUGGGGGUACACGAGCGGCGAACGGGUGAGUAACACGUGGGUGACCUGCCCUCAGCUCUGGGAUAAGCCUGGGAAACUGGGUCCAAUACUGGAUAUGACCUUUCCUCGCAUGGGGUUGGGUGGAAAGUUUUUCGGCUGGGGAUGGGCCCGCGGCCUAUCAGCUUGUUGGUGGGGUGAUGGCCUACCAAGGCGACGACGGGUAGCCGGCCUGAGAGGGCGACCGGCCACACUGGGACUGAGACACGGCCCAGACUCCUACGGGAGGGCAGCAGUGGGGAAUAUUGCGCAAUGGGCGGAAGCCUGACGCAGCGACGCCGCGUGGGGGAUGACGGCCU